AUCCUCAGAUGGCGCAGUGGGUCAGUGUGUCUGGCUGUUAACCAGAAGGAUAGUGUUUUGAGCCCACCCAGGGAUG